CCUACGGGAGGCAGCAGUGGGGAAUAUUGCACAAUGGGGGAAACCCUGAUGCAGCGACGCCGCGUGAGUGAAGAAGUAUUUCGGUAUGUAAAGCUCUAUCAGCAGGGAAGAAAAUGACGGUACCUGAUUAAGAAGCCCCGGCUAACUACGUGCCAGCAGCCGCGGUAAUACGUAGGGGGCAAGCGUUAUCCGGAUUUACUGGGUGUAAAGGGAGCGUAGACGGCAGCACAAGUCUGGAGUGAAAUGCCGGGGCUUAACCCCGGAACUGCUUUGGAAACUGUGCAGCUAGAGUUCCGGAGAGGUACGUGGACUUCCUAUUGUAGCGGUGACAUGCGUCGAUAUUAGGAG
rnacentral:rRNA from 1 species